rnacentral:rRNA from 1 species
GUGUCAGCAGCCGCGGUAAUACGUAGGGGGCGAGCGUUGUUCGGAUUUACUGGGCGUAAAGAGCGCGUAGGCGGUUCGAUAAGUCGGAGGUGAAAUCCCUCGGCUCAACCGAGGACCCGCGUCCGAUACUGUCGAACUUGAGUGCAGGAGAGGAGAGCGGAAUUCCCAGUGUAGCGGUGAAAUGCGUAGAUAUUGGGAGGAACACCGGUGGCGAAGGCGGCUCUCUGGACUGUCACUGACGCUGAGGUGCGAAAGCUAGGGGAGCAAACGGGAUUAGAUACCCCCGUAGUCC